rnacentral:rRNA from 1 species
UCUUGACCUCAAAUCAGGUAGGAUUACCCGCUGAACUUAAGCAUAUCA